rnacentral:rRNA from 1 species
AUUGAACGCUGGCGGCAGGCCUAACACAUGCAAGUCGAGCGGAGCGGCGGACGGGUGAGUAAUGCCUAGGAAUCAGCCUGGUAGUGGGGGAUAACGUACGGAAACGGGCGCUAAUACCGCAUACUAUCAGAUGAGCCUAGGUCGGAUUAGCUAGUUGGUGGGGUAAAGGCCUACCAAGGUGACGAUCCGUAACUGGUCUGAGAGGAUGAUGCGUCAACCGGGAACUGAGACACGCUCCGGACUCCGACGGGCGUCAGCAGUGGGGAAUAUUGGACAAUGGGCGAAAGCUGGAUGCAGACAGGCGGCUGGGGUGAAGAAGGUCUUCGGAUGGUAAAGCACUUUAAGUUGGGAGGCGUUACCAACAUAAUAAGCACCGGCUAACUACGUGCCAGCAGCCGCGGUAAUAC